rnacentral:tRNA from 1 species
GCCCCUGUGAUGUAGUGGAAGCUUGCGACCUUGGUAUGGCCGAAGCGUGGGUUCGAUUCCCACCGGGGGCU